ACUCCUACGGGAGGCAGCAGUGGGGAAUAUUGCACAAUGGGCGCAAGCCUGAUGCAGCGACGCCGCGUGAGGGAUGACGGCCUUCGGGUUGUAAACCCCUUUCGCCCGGGACGAAGCGAGAGUGACGGUACCGGGAGAAGAAGCACCGGCCAACUACGUGCCAGCAGCCGCGGUAAU
rnacentral:rRNA from 1 species